rnacentral:snRNA from 1 species
GCUAUUGGGGCAUAGGGCAGCACAUUACUAAAAUUGGAAUGAUACAGAGAAGAUUAGCAUGGCCCCUGUGCAAGGAUAGCAUGCAAAUUUGUGAAGUGUUCCAUAUUUUA